rnacentral:lncRNA from 1 species
UUUCUAAUUCAUGAAGAGUUUCUUCAUGAUUUGUGAGAAAAUUGAGUUCCCCAAUCUACUACUUUUCUCUACACAGAUCCAAGCCACUGUAGUCACUACAGUGUGUCGCUGUGUGUCUGUGCCGUAUGUAAUGAGAGAGAGAGAAACUGAUUUAAGAGGAGUGCCGCUAGAAGAGAGGCUGACCCCCUGGACUGAGGAGGGGAGGUUGUUGGCAAAGAGCCAACUCUGGCCUCAUCCAUCCAGCAGAAUGACAGAGGUAGGUUACAGUCAGUGCACAGCACUAGAGCCAGCCCACCAAGUUCACGUCACAGCUCUAGCUGCGUUAUUCUGAGCAAGUUAUUUAACCUGUUGGUGUUUCAGAUUCUUUGUCUGAAAACAAAGAUCUAAGACAGUAGGAGUAUCUAGGUCAUAUGUUCUUUGCAAUGUGCUUUAAAAAGUGUGGCAGCAGCAUUAGCCAGCAACAUUGUUACCUGAGAUCUAAGCUCCCAUCCUGUCAGGAGUGCCAUCUCUCCUUGGUUUGCUUUUAGUUCUCAUUGUGAGGAUCAAGUGGAAGCUCCAACCACUCCAGAAGCUCCUUGUCUUGAGGUUGCUCUGGCAGCAAAGCAAUGAGGAGAUUCUGACUUGAUUGUGGGUAAGAUACAAGUUAAUCCUUCUUUUUUAUAGCCCAUCAGUUUCCCCAUAUCCUCAAUAGUGGAACCCCCAGGAGCACCAGAUUUGGAAUCGAAUGGAGUCUAGAAUCCUGGCCUUGGCCCUUACUGGGUGUAUAGCCUUGAGCAAGUUACUGAACUGUUCUGAGACUGUUUCUUCUUCUGUCACUAGAAGAUAACACUAACUAUCUUGAAAGUAGUAAGAAUAUUUGUCAGGAUCGGGUAUGUUUAGUGCAGUGCCUGGUAAGUAGGAAGUUCUCAAUAGAUGGUAACUGCUAAAGUAAUAAAGUGGUUAUCAUUAUUGGGUUCAGAAGCAGAAUUGGUAUCUCAUUUCCUUGUAGCCCCUGUUGUAUGACUAGCUUUUUAGUGAUCAAUAAACCAAGUGAAGUGAGUCAGACAGAGAAAGACAAAUACCACAUGAUAUCACUUAUAUCUGGAAUCUAAUCUAUGGCACAAAUGAACCUUUCCACAGGAAAGAAACUCAUGGACUUGGAGAACAGACUUGUGGUUGCCAAGGGGAGUGGAAUAGACUGGAAAUCUGGGGUUGAUAGAUGCAAACUAUUACAUUUGGAGUGGAUAAGCAAUGAGACCCUGCUGUAUAGCACUGGGAAGUAUAUCUAGUCACUUGUGAUGGAACAUGAUGGAGGAUAAUGUGAGAAAAAGAAUAUAUAUAUGUAUAUGUGUGUGUGUGUGUGUGUGUGUGUGUGCAUGAAUGAGUCACUUUACUGUAUAGUAGAAAUCGACGGAACACUAAAUCAACUAUAAUGGAAAAAAUAAAAAUCAUACAACUUAAAAAAGAAAUAAAUGCAUCAUGAAUAUGGAAUUGAUGGGACACUCGAAUGUUGUUAAUGUCAGGGGGGGAAAGACAAGAAAAAAAGGUGAGAGAAAAGAUGUUUUGAAACACAGAGAACAAGAGAGCAAAGAGUUAAAGGAUAAUGUAAAUAGAAGAGAUCAAAAAAUAACAUAGAAUAAGACAAAAACUUACCCAGAGAAUAAGAAAGUCAGGGAGGCAGAAGAGUAUUAGGAUCAUAGUUGACAGAUGAAUAAGAAGCAGUUGACUAUUUUUUAGCAGCACAAAGGAUGAUGCUAUAAAACAACAUAGGGAUGAGUUACAAAAAACAAUAAUCAGAAUUAUACUGAUUGCCUUUUCAGCGGAAGGAAGUGGGUGUAAUCAGGGAGGGCCACACAGAAGGCUCCUAAGAUUUAAAUAGUCUUUUUUCAAAUAUUUAACAAUAUAAACAAUCAAAGGGAAAAAUACUUAUUCCUCAAAGUGAAAAAGAACAAUAGAAGGAAGUAAAGAAAAAAAAGAGGUAGUCUGGGGAGUUCCCCAGCGUGGUGCAGCAGAAACAAAUCCAACUAGGAACCAUGAGGUUGCAGGUUCAAUCACUGGCCUCACUCAGUGGGUUAAGGAUCCAGCAUUAUGGUGAGCUGUGGUGUAGGUCGCAGAUGAGGCUCAGAUCCUGAGUUGCUGUGGCUGUGGUGUAGGCCAGCACCUGCAGCUCUGAAUCGACUCCUAGCCUGGGAACCUCCAUAUGCCAUGCACUCGGCCCAAGAGAUAGCCUAAACAAAGAAAGAAAUGAGAUGGGGCUUUUAAAACCAAAGAAAUGACUCCGUAAUGGGUAGAUACUGCCAGUCUCUCCAGGCACCUCCCUAUCAACUUGCAUAGCUCCCACCUUCCAACUGCCAGAGGGACUCAACCACUGAGCUGGCCUCCUGUGCCCUAGCUCUUCUCUCUUUCAAGAUAGUACAGUCACCUCCUCCAGGAAGCUUUCCCUGAUUCACCUAUCCAUGCUGCUCCUUUUCUCUACAGUUAACUGUCUCGCAUUCACCCACUUUUUUUGCCUUAUUUGUCUUCAGUUCGCAGGGUCUUCUGAUACUGUGCAUUGUCCUCUCCCAAGUUUUUCAAAAGCAUGAGGCCAUUUUCCCUUCCAGCACAGACCGACCAUAUUUUCUGAUAUUUUGAAGCAGAUCCCUUAGGUCGUGGCUUAGAAGUUGCUAAAGAUACCAGAGCAGAUAUGAAUUCUAAUAAGUAAAGUAUAUGAAUCUCAGCUGAAUCCCAUAUGAAAAAUUUAUAUAUAUUCUUACUAAGGACAUUAUUGGAACAAUUGACAAAAUUAAAAUAUGGACUGAACAUUACCUAAUAGUUUGUAUCAAUAAGUUUCCUGAAUUGAUUACUGUAAUGAUGUUGAUGUAAGAGACCAUCUUGUCUUAAGAGACACAAACUGAAAUACUAAGGAGUAAAGGGUCAUGCUGCGUAAGCAGAUAUCCUAAUGUAUCAAAUAAAAAUUAUUACAUGUAAAUACACUGAAAGUGAGUGAUCAUGCAAACGAGUAAAAAAUAUUAAAAAUUCAUGAUUCUUGAUAAAGCUUACAUAGGAGACUUUGGAAACACUCUUACAACUUUCCUAUACGUUUAAACGUCCUUUAAAAUAAAAAGUUUUAAGGGAAAUGAAUCAAGAUUUGAAUGAAAUUAAUCAAGCAUUGUACAAAACCCGAACUCUGUUUAAAUGCCCCAAGCUCAACAUGGUCUACUUUUACUACUAAUUUCAACUUACAUGAAAAGAUGGGGCUGAAAUAAAUCUACUUAAGCUUUUCAUUUCCAAACCUCAAUUCUUAUGGAAUUUUUGCUGUAAGAGAACAGGUAAUAAUUUUUUGACUGACAUUAUUUUUUUCUUAUUUUCCACAUUACAUCUAAUAGAAAGUUGAAAUUAGAAACUGUCAUUUGCAGGGGUUUUUUUCUAGUUUAAUAAAUCAUAAUGAUUCUUUAAAUAUUAAGGUCAUGCAUUGAUCUCUCUGGGGACUGGGUAAUAGCGAGGAAAUCUCCAGAGUCCACAUUUCUGUUGCUGGUGGUGGAAUCUCUGCCAAUGUAUAAAGUAGAUAGAACAUGAGUAAUUCUAGGAAGCUCAUGCCCAUAGCUAGAAAGUAAGAUGAAACGUCUGCAGAAAGUUUUGUGAUCAGAAAAUUAACUCGACACACACAUUUCUCCGUAAUUCCUUCCACACAUAAUAAAGGGAAAAAUCAACAGCACAGUGCUCAGAAUAUAACAGGUACUCAGUAAAUGUUAAUUAAUAAAACUAACUAGGAGUUCCCAUCGUGGUGCAGUGGUUAACGAAUCCGACUAGGAACCAUGAGGUUUUGGGUUCGAUCCCUGCCCUUGCUCAGUGGGGUAAUGAUCCGGCGUUGCCGUGAGCUGUGGUGUAGGUCGCAGAUGCAGCUCGGAUCCUGUGUUGCUGUGGCUCUGGCAUAGGCUGGCAGCUGCAGCUCCCAUUAGACCCCUAGCCUGGGAAACUCCAUAUGCCAUGGGAGCAGCCCAAGAAA